CCCGUGCCAGGCCUGCGCCGACGCGUGCUAAUCCGCUUGGCUUGACUCUCAGGACAACCCCAUGAGGCAAUGCACUGCUUUCACCCCCAUUUUACAGAAUUUACUUGCUCUCCCUGACCUCCCUGGAAGCUCUAGUGAUUGCUCCUCCUCGAGAGACCCUUAUGUCUAACUCGAUUCUCUGCUGCUAAGAAGUGACCGUCUCUCCACCUCCUGGACCCCCACCCUGGACCAGGAGGCAGCAAAGGGGUGCUGCAGACUGUGGGUCCUGCUAAUCUCCGAGGCUGCCCUUGGGCACAUGACUUUCCCUCUCUAUGCCUCAGUUUCCCCAUGUAAACCAUGCCUUCCCUGGAAUUAGAAGUCUAGGAUUAUGGCUGGAAGGGCACACCUGUGGUCUCUGGGACUAAUGACCACCCCUCCCAGGUCAGCAGGGUGCUGGGGUCACAGAGACCUGGCUUAAAAUCUCAACUUCCCCCAGUUCCCUGCUGUGUCACCCGGGCAAUGACUUCACUUCUCUGUGCCUGUUUCUUCCUCCACAAAAUGAGAAGUUGAGUGGACUUCUCCUCACCAGGUGUUGAGAGGACUAAGUGGGCCAGUUAUUAGUGGUAGCUCAGCCCAGAGUGAAUGGCCCCAUCUUGUCUCCUCUGAGGGUGGGACAGGGUGACAAGGAAGCCCUGGCCUGAUGGGUAGGAGACAAGGUCUUGCUAUGUCGCUCGGACUGCAGGCAUAUUUUCCUGAUGUGGUCCACUUUUAGAUGAGGAAACUGAGGCUCCACAAGAUUAAGUAACUGCCUAGAAGUCACAAAGAAGGGGAAAUCGAGGUCCCAAGAACAAGAGAGCUGCCCUCGGCCCACACACUCCAAGCUGGGACUUCAUUUCCCUCUCGGGAUCUUCAGCAGAUUCUUCUCCCUGAGGCCCUUUUAGCCUCACUGGUCCUCAGAGCACCCUCAGCCCCUCUCUCCCACCCUGCCAAGGGUGGGAGGGUCAAGCUGGGCCAAGGGCAUCUGCUGGCCUCUCCAGUCCUGCAGGUUGGAAGCCAUUGCACCACCUGAAGAGGGUGACAGGGAGUGGAAGGAACUUGGGUGUCCUCCCAACCCUACCUCUUAGGGUCGCCACCCUAAGCCCGGCCCCCUGAGCCUCAGCUUCCCUUUCUGUACAAUGGAGUACAGGAGCUUGCUGCAGCCCCCACAACACUGGCAGGGAGGGGUUGGCAUCGUCCCCAUUUUCCAGAAAAACAAACUGAGUCUCAAGACAGGGGAUGGCUUGUCUGGGGUCCCACAGGGAGCAAGGGGUGGAGGUGAGAUUUGAACCCAGGUCUGUGCCCCAGAUGUUCCACCAUGUCAGGGCGCUAAGGGGAAGAGAUCCGGGGAGAGAGACGGAAAAGAGAGAAGAGGGAAGGGGUGAGGCCUCUGCCCACAGCCGUUCCUCACAUCCUGGGUUAACGAUCCACCCAGGUGGGGCCCGAGUCCGGCCAAAGUCCCUUCCCGGGGACUGGGACCCCACACCCACGUUUAGGGUCCCAGAGAGGCGCUGCGGAGGACAUGGGGACAGAGGGCGGGGUCGGAGACCGUGAGAGGCAGCUAGGGACGGAGUCGCAAAGACAGAGGGAGAGCCAGAGAAUCGGGGAGGCUCCCCGCGCCCCUGGGCAGGUCCGGGUGCAGCCCCCUCGCCUCUGCCCCCCGUGUUCCCAAAGUCUCCUCCUCCGCCGCCGCCUCUGCCUAGGUGACCCGGACUCAACCCCGCCGGCGCCCCGCCCCCA